rnacentral:rRNA from 1 species
CCUACGGGAGGCAGCAGUGGGGAAUAUUGGACAAUGGGCGCAAGCCUGAUCCAGCCAUGCCGCGUGUGUGAAGAAGGUCUUCGGAUUGUAAAGCACUUUAAGUUGGGAGGAAGGGCAGUAAGCGAAUACCUUGCUGUUUUGACGUUACCGACAGAAUAAGCACCGGCU